rnacentral:rRNA from 1 species
UACAGAGGUGGCAAGCGUUGUUCGGAAUUACUGGGCGUAAAGGGCGCGUAGGCGGCUCGACAAGUCCCGCGUGAAAGCCCCCGGCUCAACUGGGGAACUGCGCGGGAAACUGUCGGACUUGAGUUCGGGAGAGGGAAGCGGAAUUCCGGGUGUAGCGGUGAAAUGCGUAGAUAUCAGGAGGAACACCGGUGGCGAAGGCGGGUCUCUGGGCAGUAACUGACGCUGAGGAGCGAAAGCGUGGGGAGCGAACAGG